UAAGAAAACUGAGACACAGAAAAGUCACACAAGAUUAUCGAGGUCAACACAGAGAACAGUGGAACCUGCACCUGACCCCAGGCAGGCGGAACCUUCAUGACCACACCACACCGCCACAGGGAACAGGCAGGGAAAACAAUGGGUCUAGCAGGACAAAAGUGACAUUUCCCAGAGUUUCUUGCUGUUUGGAACUGGCUGCAGUUUCAGUUUUGCCAAGAAGAGGCAUUUCCAUGAGCUCUGGACAGUGGCAGAGAGGCAGAGGUGCUCCACUGCAGUGUGCUGGAUGGUCCGCGGGCUCCUGCCAAUGUGAGGAUUUGCAGCAACUGGUAUAUCCAUGGUCUUGUCACCAGCUUCCUGAAUGCGGGGCAGCUGGAGCCACACUAGUGGUCCUUCCUUGCAGGGGCAGCAGCUGUCUCCUGGUCUCAGAAUCACAGCUGUGGGGAUGCAACCUUAAGCCAAAAGCCUAGCGGUGGGUGGUCCUAACCUUCUUUUGUCUAGGCCCUCUGAUCCCUCUGUAAGUCGCUAUUUCCCUUAUUAAAUCUCUUUCUGCUGGA
rnacentral:lncRNA from 1 species